CGUAGCGUAAGUUACGCUAAUACCGCAUAUUCUGGGAGCAGGGGAGCAGGGGAUCGCAAGACCUUGCGCUGAUUGAGCUGCCGAUAUCAGAUUAGCUAGUUGGUGAGGUAAAGGCUCACCAAGGCGACUAUCUGUAGCGGGUCUGAGAGGAUGAUCCGCCACACUGGAACUGAGACACGGUCCAGACUCCUACGGGAGGCAGCAGUGGGGAAUUUUGGACAAUGGGGGCAACCCUGAUCCAGCCAUGCCGCGUGAGUGAAGAAGGCCUUCGGGUUGUAAAGCUCUUUCGGCCGGGAAGAAAUCGCAUGGGCUAAUACCCUGUGUGGAUGACGGUACCGGAAUAAGAAGCACCGGCUAACUACGUGCCAGCAGCCGCGGUGAUACGUAGGGUGCGAGCGUUAAUCGGAAUUACUGGGCGUAAAGCGUGCGCAGGCGGGUUAGUAAGACAGGCGUGAAAUCUCCGGGCUCAACCUGGGAACUGCGCUUGUGACUG
rnacentral:rRNA from 1 species